CCAUUGGAAACGAUGGCUAAUACCGCAUUGUCCUAUUUGUGUGGGAACACGAAUAGGCAAAGCUCUGGCGCUUCGAGAGGGGCCUGCGUCCGAUUAGCUAGUUGGUGGGGUAAUGGCCCACCAAGGCGACGAUCGGUGGCUGGUCUGAGAGGACGAUCAGUCACACGGGAACUGAGACACGGUCCCGACUCCUACGGGGGGCAGCGGUGAGGAAUAUUGCACAAUGGGGGAAACCCUGAUGCAGCAACGCCGCGUGGAGGAUGAAGGCUUCGGUUGUAAACUCCUUUUCUGGGGGAAGAGCAAGGACGGUACCCCAGGAAUAAGUCACGGCUAACUACGUGCCAGCAGCCGCGGUAAUACGUAGGUGGCGAACGUUAUCCGGAAUUACUGGGCGUAAAGCGCGCGCAGGCGGUCGGCCAAGUCCGGCGUGAAAGCUCCUGGCUUAACUGGGAGAGGUCGUUGGAAACUGAUCGGCUUGAGGCGAUGAGAGGGGUGCGGAAUUCCCGGUGUAGUGGUGGAAUGCGUAGAUAUCGGGGGGAACACCAGUGGCGAAAGCGGCACCCUGGCAUUUGCCUGACGCUCAUGUGCGAAAGCGUGGGGAGCGAACGGGAUUAGAUACCCCGGUAGUCCACGCUGUAAACGAUGAAUACUAGGUGUGGGUGGCAUCAAACCCAUUCGUGCCGAAGCAAACGCGAUAAGUAUUCCGCCUGGGGAGUACGGCCGCAAGGCUAAAACUCAAAGGAAUUGACGGGGGCCCGCACAAGCAGCGGAGCGUGUGGUUUAAUUCGAUGCAACGCGAA
rnacentral:rRNA from 1 species